rnacentral:rRNA from 1 species
CCUACGGGAGGCAGCAGUGGGGAAUAUUGCACAAUGGGCGCAAGCCUGAUGCAGCCAUGCCGCGUGUGUGAAGAAGGCCUUCGGGUUGUAAAGCACUUUCAGCGGGGAGGAAGGCGUUAAGGUUAAUAACCUUGUCGAUUGACGUUACCCGCAGAAGAAGCACCGGCUAACUCCGUGCCAGCAGCCGCGGUAAUACGGAGGGUGCAAGCGUUAAUCGGAAUUACUGGGCGUAAAGCGCACGCAGGCGGUCUGUCAAGUCGGAUGUGAAAUCCCCGGGCUCAACCUGGGAACUGCAUUCGAAACUGGCAGGCUAGAGUCUUGUAGAGGGGGGUAGAAUUCCAGGUGUAGCGGUGAAAUGCGUAGAGAUCUGGAGGACUACCGGUGGCGAAGGCGGCCCCCUGGACAAAGACUGACGCUCAGGUGCGAAAGCGUGGGGAGCAAACAGGAUGAGAUACCUAGUAGUC